rnacentral:rRNA from 1 species
CGCCCCACAGCUAGCCCACAACAUUUAAUCAACAACCAAACAUAAAUAACCCUAAAAACCCCAAACAAAACAAACAAACCAUUUUCCCUUCCUAGUACGGGAGACAGAAAAGAGAAUCAGGAGCAAUAGAAACAGUACCGCAAGGGAAAGCUGAAAGAGAAAUGAAACAAACCAUUUUAAGCCCAAAAAAGCAGAGAUCCAAACUCGUACCUUUUGCAUCAUGACUUAGCCAGUACUAUUCGAGCACAGCGUCCUUUAGUUCGACACCCCGAAACUAGACGAGCUACUCCAAGGCAGCCUAUAACAGGGCAACCCCGUCUCUGUAGCAAAAGAGUGGGAAGAACUUUGAGUAGAGGUGACAGACCUAUCGAGUCUAGUUAUAGCUGGUUGCCUAAGAAAUGGAUAUGAGUUCAGCCCCCUGGACUCCCCGCCCCAACCCAGUCUUCACUCAAGCUGGAUUCAGGUCUUCAAGCCAGGGGUGUUAGUCAAAGGAGGUACAGCUCCUUUGAAACAAGACACAACUUUACCAGGAGGAUAAAGAUCACAAGUACUAAGGAAGAAUGCUCCAGUGGGCCUAAAAGCAGCCACCUGAACAGAAAGCGUUAAAGCUCAAGCAUCCGCCCACCCUCAAAUCCCGACUGACAUAUCUCAGCCCCCUAAUCCUACUAGGCCCUCCCAUGCCCCCAUGGAAGAGAUCCUGCUAAUAUGAGUAAUAAGAAAAUCCCAGAUUUUCUCCUUGCACAAGUGUAAGUCGGAACGGACCUUCCACCGACCCCUAACCGGCCCCAAUCAAAGAGGGGACUGAAUAAUAAAUAAAAUCCCAGAAAAAUAUUCAACCAUCAACCGUUAGCCCCACACUGGAGUGCCCACAAGGAAAGACUAAAAGAGAAAAAAGGAACUCGGCAAACAUAAGCCUCGCCUGUUUACCAAAAACAUCGCCUCUUGUAGACAAAAAAUAAGAGGUCCCGCCUGCCCUGUGACUAUGUGUUUAACGGCCGCGGUAUUUUGACCGUGCAAAGGUAGCGCAAUCACUUGUCUUUUAAAUGAAGACCCGUAUGAAUGGCUUGACGAGGGCUUAGCUGUCUCUUUUCUCCGGUCAAUGAAAUUGAUCUCCCCGUGCAGAAGCGGGGAUAAUCGCAUAAGACGAGAAGACCCUAUGGAGCUUUAGACACAAAGUAGCCCAAACUUCACCCCCAAAAUUAAAAUUGAGGGGACACAAUGGCCCCCUGCUCAAAUGUCUUUGGUUGGGGCGACCCUGGGGAAAAACACAACCCCCACAUGGAACAGAAGAACUUCUUCCACAACCAAGGGCCCCCGCUCUAAGUAACAGAACCUCUGACCAUCAAUGAUCCGGUAUAACCGAUCAACGGACCGAGUUACCCUAGGGAUAACAGCGCAAUCCCCUCCCAGAGCCCAUAUCGACGAGGGGGUUUACGACCUCGAUGUUGGAUCAGGAUAUCCUACUGGUGCAGCCGCUAUUAAGGGUUCGUUUGUUCAACGAUUAAAAUCCUACGUGAUCUGAGUUCAGACCGGAGUAAUCCAGGUCAGUUUCUAUCUAUGGUGUAAUCUCUUUCUAGUACGAAAGGACCGAAGAGAAAAGGCCCCUGCUAAAGGCAUACCUUUCCCCCACCUAAUGAAAGCAACUAAAUUAGGCAAGGGGGUACAUCCCUUAAGCCCAAAAAUAGGGCGU